UGGCCUCUUGCAACUUCUCUUGUGCCAUGGCCCCAAAAUGGAAAUCUAAGCUCCUGCCCCAGUCCAAGAAGCCCAAGUCGGUCCCUGCAGUGAAGGUGGAGGACAAGCCUGCCUCUCUUGGCCUGCCGAAGGGAGAACAAGAACAGCAAGUAGCAAUUGAACACAUUGAUGAAGUACAAAAUGAAAUAGACUGGCAUAAUGAACAAGCCAGUGAGGAAAUUUUGAAAGUAGAACAAAAAUAUGACAAACUCCCACAGCCAUGUUUUCAGAAGGGGUCAGAAUUGAUCGCCAAAAUCCCAAAUUUUUGGGUAGCAACAUUUGUCAACGCUGCUUGGGGAGGAAGAUUAAGAGGGUCUGCAUUAAUUAACCAGAGUUGAAGUGACAGAAUUUGAAGACAUUAAAUCAGGUUACAUAAUAGAUUUUUAUUUUGAUGAAAAUCCUUACUUCGAAAAUAAAGUUCUCUCCAAAGAAUUUCAUCUGAGUGAGAGUGGUGACCUGUCAUCAAAGUCCAAGGAGAUCAAAUAGGAAUCUGGAAAGGAUUUGACAAAACACUCAAGUCAAACGCAGAUAAGGUCAGCAGGAAGAGGCACAUGAAGAUCCAGGGAGCUUCUUUACCUGGUUUACUGACCAUUCUGAUGCAGGUGCAGAUGAAUUAGGAGAGAUCAUCAAAGACGAUAUUGGGCCAAACCCCUUGCAGUACUAUUUGGUUCCUGAUAUGGAUGAUGAAGAAGGAGAGGCAGAUGAUGAUGAUGAUGAAGAAGAGGAGGAAGACUUGGAAGAUAUAGAUGAAGAAGGGGAUGAAGAUGAAGGUGAAGAAGAUGAAGAUGAUGACAAAGGGGAGGAAGGACAUGGGGAUGAAGGCAAGGAUAACUAG